rnacentral:rRNA from 1 species
UACGUAGGGUGCAAGCGUUGUCCGGAAUUAUUGGGCGUAAAGAGCUCGUUGGCGGUUUGUCGCGUCUGCUGUGAAAAUCCAGGGCUUAACCCUGGACCUGCAGUGGGUACGGGCAGACUAGAGUGCGGUAGGGGAGAUCGGAAUUCCUGGUGUAGCGGUGAAAUGCGCAGAUAUCGGGAGGAACACCAGUGGCGAAGGCGACUUCCUGGCCUGUUCUUGACGCUGAGGCGCGAAAGCUAGGGGAGCAAACGGG